rnacentral:lncRNA from 1 species
CAGUGGCAGGGCAGUGGGCUAUGUACACCAGCUGUGGAGUUGCUGCAUCCUGCAGUGCUUCCGUGGGAAAUGUGGGAGUGAUGGGGCCAGUGUGUGGCAGUUGUGUCUGUCUCAGGGCCGGGCGGAAGAGCUCUUGCAUGCCCCUUGCCCACCUUGACAGUGUCUCUCUGGGACUUGCAGAACUUGCUGAAGAAGUAUUUCUUGGGCAACCCCGUCUCCCCAGUGCCCCUCAAGGUGGUUCUGGCCCUGGAGCAGUUGAGGUAAGGGCCAGGUAAGUCUGUUUGAGGUGAAAAUUACUCAGUUACAACUUGAGACUCCUCUUUUUCUAGCAAGAUGUGGAGGAGAAUAAGAGAGUUUUGUCUUUGAUGGUGGAACUGGUAGAAGAAUGAAAAGAAGAAAGAAUGAAAGGGAAAGAAUCACAAAAUCACAGAAUGUCAGGAACUGGAAGGAACCUCAGAAGAUCUUCUAGUCCAAUCCCCCCGCUUUAGCAGGAACACCUAGAUUAGGUCACACAGGAAUGUGUCCAGGCAGUAGUAUGCAUCAUAAGUAAUGAAUGUGAAAAGGCA